rnacentral:rRNA from 1 species
GACGAACGCUGGCGGCGUGCUUAACACAUGCAAGUCGAACGAUGAAGCUAGAGCUUGCUCUGGUGAAUUAGUGGCGAACGGGUGAGUAACACGUGAGUAACCUGCCCCGAACUCCGGGAUAACUGCUGGAAACGGUAGCUAAUACUGGAUACGACCUACGAAGGCAUCUUCUGUAGGUGGAAAGAAUUUCGGUUCGGGAUGGACUCGCGGCCUAUCAGCGUGUUGGUGAGGUAAUGGCUCACCAAGGCGACGACGGGUAGCCGGCCUGAGAGGGUGACCGGCCACACUGGGACUGAGACACGGCCCAGACUCCUACGGGAGGCAGCAGUGGGGAAUAUUGCACAAUGGGCGCAAGCCUGAUGCAGCAACGCCGCGUGAGGGAUGACGGCCUUCGGGUUGUAAACCUCUUUUAGUAGGGAAGAAGCGAAAGUGACGGUACCUGCAGAAAAAGCACCGGCUAACUACGUGCCAGCCGCCGCAGUAG